UACGUAGGUGGCAAGCGUUGUCCGGAUUUAUUGGGCGUAAAGGGAGCGCAGGCGGUGACUUAAGUCUGAUGUGAAAGCCCACGGCUUAACCGUGGAGGGUCAUUGGAAACUGGUCGACUUGAGUGCAGAAGAGGGAAGUGGAAUUCCAUGUGUAGCGGUGAAAUGCGUAGAGAUAUGGAGGAACACCAGUGGCGAAGGCGGCUUCCUGGUCUGUAACUGACACUGAGGCGCGAAAGCGUGGGGAGCAAACAGGAUUAGAUACCCU
rnacentral:rRNA from 1 species